CCUGGGCCGAAGGCAGACGCUUAACGACUGAGCCACCCAGGCGCCCCUCUCCAGAAGCUUCUUAAGAAAAGGCGCAUUGGAGCUCCCUCCCCUGCUUGAGACCUGUGGGGCUUGACAUCUGGGAGCACUCUGAUGAAGAAAUGGAGCUUUUUGAGAGACUGAGUAAUUUGCCUAAAGUCA